GAGGAACCUGCCUUGGAGAGGGGAAUAACACUCCGAAAGGAGUGCUAAUACCGCAUGAUGCAGUUGGGUCGCAUGGCUCUGACUGCCAAAGAUUUAUCACUCUGAGAUGGCCUCGCGUCUGAUUAGCUAGUAGGCGGGGUAACGGGCCCACCUAGGCGACGAUCAGUAGCCGGACUGAGAGGUUGACCGGCCACAUUGGGACUGAGACACGGCCCAGACUCCUACGGAGGCAGCAUG
rnacentral:rRNA from 1 species